GUGAUCUACAACAAUAUAACCAAGGAAACUCUCUUUCAGGCAGUUGGAGAUGAUGGGGUGAUCUACAAUUCUGUGGUUUUGAAGUAAGAGGUGUAAGCGAAGGUGUUUCUGGUCAGAUCUCUUACAAAGAAGCCACUGCAGUGCAAGUCAUUUGACAGUGGAGUUUGUUCUAUGUCAUUUAUGAUGAAAAUGGUUUCAUUCCAAGAAUUUAACUUUAAGUUUUUGCUUCCUGCUGAUUCACAUUGUUUCUACCUACAAAUAGUCUUUCAGAAGUACCUGCAGGUGCACUGAAUAUGAAUAUAUAAACUUAAAGGAAGGGAUUGGUGAAAAUU